rnacentral:snoRNA from 1 species
ACUCCCGUUCUUGGCAGGCCCCGGCCGCCCUGUGCCGAGGUCUGUGAUGUCCGGAGGUAGAGCAGCGACUCUUUCAUGGGGGGCACCCCCUUGCCAUGG